rnacentral:rRNA from 1 species
UUAAGCGACUAAGCGUACACGGUGGAUGCCCUGGCAGUCAGAGGCGAUGAAGGACGUGCUAAUCUGCGAAAAGCGCCGGCGAGGUGAUAUGAACCUUUGACCCGGCGAUGUCCGAAUGGGGAAACCCAGUGCAAUCCGUUGCACUAUCGUUAACUGAAUACAUAGGUUAACGAGGCGAACCGGGGGAACUGAAACAUCUAAGUACCCCGAGGAAAAGAAAUCAACCGAGAUUCCCCCAGUAGCGGCGAGCGAACGGGGAGCAGCCCGGAGUCUGAAUCAGCUUGUGUGUUAGUGGAACGGUCUGGAAAGUCCGACGGUACAGGGUGAUAGUCCCGUACACGAAAGCACACAUGCUGUGAACUCGAAGAGUAGGGCGGGACACGUGGUAUCCUGUCUGAAUAUGGGGGGACCAUCCUCCAAGGCUAAAUACUCCUGACUGACCGAUAGUGAACCAGUACCGUGAGGGAAAGGCGAAAAGAACCCCGGCGAGGGGAGUGAAAAAGAACCUGAAACCGUGUACGUACAAGCAGUGGGAGCCUCUUUAUGGGGUGACUGCGUACCUUUUGUAUAAUGGGUCAGCGACUUAUAUUCUGUAGCAAGGUUAACCGUAUAGGGGAGCCGAAGGGAAACCGAGUCUUAACUGGGCGUUAAGUUGCAGGGUAUAGACCCGAAACCCGGUGAUCUAGCCAUGGGCAGGUUGAAGGUUGGGUAACACUAACUGGAGGACCGAACCGACUAAUGUUGAAAAAUUAGCGGAUGACCUGUGGCUGGGGGUGAAAGGCCAAUCAAACCGGGAGAUAGCUGGUUCUCCCCGAAAGCUAUUUAGGUAGCGCCUCGUGAACUCAUCUUCGGGGGUAGAGCACUGUUUCGGCUAGGGGGCCAUCCCGGCUUACCAACCCGAUGCAAACUACGAAUACCGAAGAAUGUUAUCACGGGAGACACACGGCGGGUGCUAACGUCCGUCGUGAAGAGGGAAACAACCCAGACCGCCAGCUAAGGUCCCAAAGUCAUGGUUAAGUGGGAAACGAUGUGGGAAGGCACAGACAGCCAGGAUGUUGGCUUAGAAGCAGCCAUCAUUUAAAGAAAGCGUAAUAGCUCACUGGUCGAGUCGGCCUGCGCGGAAGAUGUAACGGGGCUAAACCAUGCACCGAAGCUGCGGCAGCGACACUAUGUGUUGUUGGGUAGGGGAGCGUUCUGUAAGCCGUUGAAGGUGUCCUGUGAGGGGUGCUGGAGGUAUCAGAAGUGCGAAUGCUGACAUAAGUAACGAUAAAGCGGGUGAAAAGCCCGCUCGCCGGAAGACCAAGGGUUCCUGUCCAACGUUAAUCGGGGCAGGGUGAGUCGACCCCUAAGGCGAGGCCGAAAGGCGUAGUCGAUGGGAAACAGGUUAAUAUUCCUGUACUUGGUGUUACUGCGAAGGGGGGACGGAGAAGGCUAUGUCAGCCGGGCGACGGUUGUCCCGGUUUAAGCAUGUAGGCGGAGGUUCCAGGUAAAUCCGGUACCUUGUUAACGCUGAGGUGUGAUGACGAGGCACUACGGUGCUGAAGUGAUAAAUGCCCUGCUUCCAGGAAAAGCCUCUAAGCAUCAGGUAACACGAAAUCGUACCCCAAACCGACACAGGUGGUCAGGUAGAGAAUACCAAGGCGCUUGAGAGAACUCGGGUGAAGGAACUAGGCAAAAUGGUGCCGUAACUUCGGGAGAAGGCACGCUGAUAUGUAGGUGAAGUCCCUGCGGACGGAGCUGAAAUCAGUCGAAGAUACCAGCUGGCUGCAACUGUUUAUUAAAAACACAGCACUGUGCAAACACGAAAGUGGACGUAUACGGUGUGACGCCUGCCCGGUGCCGGAAGGUUAAUUGAUGGGGUUAGCGGCAACGCGAAGCUCUUGAUCGAAGCCCCGGUAAACGGCGGCCGUAACUAUAACGGUCCUAAGGUAGCGAAAUUCCUUGUCGGGUAAGUUCCGACCUGCACGAAUGGCGUAAUGAUGGCCAGGCUGUCUCCACCCGAGACUCAGUGAAAUUGAACUCGCUGUGAAGAUGCAGUGUACCCGCGGCAAGACGGAAAGACCCCGUGAACCUUUACUAUAGCUUGACACUGAACACUGGUCCUUGAUGUGUAGGAUAGGUGGGAGGCUUUGAAGCGUGGACGCCAGUCUGCGUGGAGCCAACCUUGAAAUACCACCCUUUAAUGGCUGGUGUUCUAACGUAGACCCGUAAUCCGGGUUGCGGACAGUGUCUGGUGGGUAGUUUGACUGGGGCGGUCUCCUCCCAAAGAGUAACGGAGGAGCACGAAGGUUGGCUAAUCCUGGUCGGACAUCAGGAGGUUAGUGCAAUGGCAUAAGCCAGCUUGACUGCGAGCGUGACGGCGCGAGCAGGUGCGAAAGCAGGUCAUAGUGAUCCGGUGGUUCUGAAUGGAAGGGCCAUCGCUCAACGGAUAAAAGGUACUCCGGGGAUAACAGGCUGAUACCGCCCAAGAGUUCAUAUCGACGGCGGUGUUUGGCACCUCGAUGUCGGCUCAUCACAUCCUGGGGCUGAAGUAGGUCCCAAGGGUAUGGCUGUUCGCCAUUUAAAGUGGUACGCGAGCUGGGUUUAGAACGUCGUGAGACAGUUCGGUCCCUAUCUGCCGUGGGCGCUGGAGAAUUGAGGGGGGCUGCUCCUAGUACGAGAGGACCGGAGUGGACGCAUCACUGGUGUUCGGGUUGUCAUGCCAAUGGCACUGCCCGGUAGCUAAAUGCGGAAGAGAUAAGUGCUGAAAGCAUCUAAGCACGAAACUUGCCCCGAGAUGAGUUCUCCCUGAGACCUUGAGUCUCCUGAAGGAACGUUGAAGACUACGACGUUGAUAGGUCGGGUGUGUAAGCGCAGCGAUGCGUUGAGCUAACCGAUACUAAUGAACCGUGAGGCUUAACCUU